rnacentral:rRNA from 1 species
UACGUAGGGUGCGAGCGUUAAUCGGAAUUACUGGGCGUAAAGGGCUCGUAGGCGGCCAACUAAGUCGAACGUGAAAUCCCUCAGCUUAACUGGGGAACUGCGUCCGAUACUGAUUGGCUUGAAUCCGGAAGAGGGAUGCGGAAUUCCAGGUGUAGCGGUGAAAUGCGUAGAUAUCUGGAGGAACACCGGUGGCGAAGGCGGCAUCCUGGGUCGGUAUUGACGCUGAGGAGCGAAAGCCAGGGGAGCAAACGGG